GAUGAAGAACGUAGUGAAAUGCGAUAAGUAAUGUGAAUUGCAGAAUUCAGUGAAUCAUCGAAUCUUUGAACGCACCUUGCGCUCCUUGGUAUUCCGAGGAGCAUGCCUGUUUGAGUGUCAUGAAAUUCUCAACCUUUUCAGCUUUCUUUGUUGAUCAGGCUUGGAUGUGGGAGUAUGCGGGCUUCUCAGAAGUCGGCUCUCCUGAAAUGCAUUAGCGGGACCUUUGUUGCCUGGCUUUGGUGUGAUAAUUAUCUACGCCAUUGUAGUCAAGCAGCUUAAAAUGAGGUUUCAGCUUCUAACCGUCUCCCCUGAGACAACUUUUUGACAAUUUGAUCUCAAAUCAGGUAGGACUACCCGCUGAACUUAAGCAUAUCAAUAAGCGGAGGA
rnacentral:misc_RNA from 1 species